GCCGGCGUAGCUCAGUUGGCAGAGCAGCUGUUUCGUAAACAGCAGGUCGUCCGUUCAAUCCGGAUCGCCGGCUCCA
rnacentral:tRNA from 1 species